rnacentral:rRNA from 1 species
UACGGGGGGGGGCAAGCGUUGUUCGGAAUUACUGGGCGUAAAGGGCUCGUAGGCGGCCAACUAAGUCAGACGUGAAAAUCCCUCGGCUUAACCGGGGAACUGCGUCUGAUACUGGAUGGCUUGAGUUUGGGAGAGGGAUGCGGAAUUCCAGGUGUAGCGGUGAAAUGCGUAGAUAUCUGGAGGAACACCGGUGGCGAAGGCGGCAUCCUGGACCAACACUGACGCUGGAGUGAGCGAA